rnacentral:rRNA from 1 species
AGCAGCCGCGGUAAUUCCAGCUCCAAUAGCGUAUAUUAAAGUUGCUGCAGUUAAAAAGCUCGUAGUUGAAUUUCGGGAUCAACUUGCUGGUCGUGCUGUGGUACGUACUGGUUUUGUUGAUUCCUCCUUUCCGAGGAACCGCGAUGUCAUUAAUUUGGUGUCGUGGGGAAUCAGGACUGUUACUUUGAAAAAAUUAGAGUGUUUAAAGCAGGCUAACGCUUGAAUACAUUAGCAUGGAAUAAUGAAAUAGGACGUUUUGAUCCUAUUUUGUUGGUUUCUAGGAUCGACGUAAUGAUUAAUAGGGAUAGUUGGGGGCGUUAGUACUCAAUUGUCAGAGGUGAAAUUCUUGGAUUUAUUGAAGACUAACUACUGCGAAAGCAUUUGCCAAGGAUGUUUUCAUUAAUCAAGAACGAAAGUUAGGGGAUCGAAGACGAUCAGAUACCGUCGUAGUCUUAACCAUAAACUAUGCCGACUAGGGAUCGGAUGAUAAAUUUUUAAUAAAUCAUUCGGCGCCUUACGGGAAACCAAGGUU